rnacentral:tRNA from 1 species
UUCCCUGUAGCUCAGUUGGUAGAGCAUGGUGUUUGCAACGCCAGGGUUGUGGGUUCGAUUCCCACGGGGGACA